rnacentral:sRNA from 2 species
UGUAAAUAAUAAUAGUUUUAGGUAAUGGAAGUUUGGUGCAAAUCCAACGCGGUCCCGCCACUGUGAUAGACUGUUUUCCGGUCUUAAGUCAGGUCUUUUACCUAAAAACUACUGAAAGGCUAACCAUUUCGAGGCGAAAGUGGUUAGUCCAUG